rnacentral:tRNA from 1 species
GCAGUGGUGGUUCAGUGGUAGAAUUCUCCUCUUCCAUGUGGGAGACCAGGGCUCAAUUCCUGACCAAUGCA